UGCAUGCUUGCAUGCAGCCCGUCCUGCCAGGCUUCUCCCACACGUACACGUCCCAGAGCUCGUGCCCACCGCCAUCAGCAAGCAUGGCAGGCCUCAGGGUUGGCAGCGAGACUGGGGCACGUGAGGCAUUAGUAAGGCUUUCUCCUGCCCUCGCUCCUGUCUGCAUGUAACACUCCGGUCACUCGUGGUCAAGGCAGGAAUUUGGCCCGGAACAGGAGGCUUUGCAUUUCUCCAGCCCCCUCCAACAAUUGUCUGACCACAAUCUCAAGCCCUUGUGUCGGUAAGGAUGCCAGGAGCUGAAUCUCAAGCCCUCAUGUCAACAGAAGAUGCCGAGAGAUGAGUGGGUCGUGGCAGGCACUGUUGUUGUAGGAUUCCAGGUGAAAAAGGCUGAGAAGCACUAAAAUUAUAUCCCACGCCAAGGGAAGAGUUCAGAAGUGUUUGCAUAAAACAAGAUUAGAACCGAGCUAUUCCAAUGGCUGUUGGUGUUUGCUCAGCCAGUUGCUAACAGCUGCUUGAACCCUGAUUGCUGAAUUGUUACUGCAGCUCAAAUCACCCCCUGAAGAAUGUACAAAAGGAGCCAAAUUCAUCUAAGGUGUAGCCUCUCGAAUUACACAUCGGUUAAUGUGGUUGGGGUAGCCUGAAUAAGCACAGCAACUAAACCAGUAAAUAAAUAAAACUCAGCUUGUCCGAGUUGGCUAACCUGAUACAGAUUACCAAUACUCAUAACAGAAACUCUCCUUUAGACAUUGUUCCUGUUUCUAAACUCGGAAGAAUCAUUUUAAUAGGAAGCUCUCUGGAGUGGUGCUGUGUUUACGGUUGCUUGCAACCCGAAGGCCGAGUUAUCAGAACGUCAUGGCAAAAGGUCAGUCUCGCUUGUGCUGUACCCCAGAAAUGCCAAUGAAGGGGGACAGAAGGGUGCGUACUGUCCUCUUCCCUUCAACAUGCCUUUUUAUUUGAAGUGUGUCAUUCAAGUCCAGAGCUGGCUGCGUUUGCAUAAGUACAGCAAAUAAGUUAGGAAGCUUCAUGGUAAAAAGGGAUUAAAUGCCUUAAUGUGACAAUUCUUUACAGUCACAUAUUUAACAGGAGAACAGAAAAGGUGAGAUCCCAUCAUUAGUAUGGAAUUGUGUGUGUAAAAAAGGGUUAGAUAUAUAAUGUAAAUAUCUAGCUAUAGAUACAGGUGUAAGCUGAUGAUGGUAUUUACAGAAUACAUAUAUAUUUAAAAAGUCAAUCAGGCUAAUUAAAAUUGUGGUUCCUCAGAUGACACCUGUUGGGGAAAAUAUCAAGGGGACACCAGGGCUUUAGCUGCAAUUCAUGCCUGUGUAGGGAAAUUGUAUUUGACAAGCUGGUUUAUAAGAAUGUUCCUACAAAAGAGGGAGAUGAAAGGCACUUUAAAAAUCACAGCACUGCCUCUGGUUCCCACACCAGCAUCAAAGUGCUGCUUCCCCUGCUUGGACUGGGCUUUGAGGAUAUUACCCUGCUUUAAUGAUCAAGCGUGCAGAAACAGCUCUUGCACUGAUAAUGACCCUUGAUUAAGAUGUUUGUUUAGGUCAUUUGGAUUUUCCCCUUCAGGGCCUGUUGUUCGAUGUGGAGUGCGACAAUAUAGGCACAGUGACCACUGCUUGUGUACAAACUCUGCUAAAUGAGAGACCAUUCUCACAUGUGAACAAUGCCACCUCCAAAAAAACCUUUGUGUUCACAUGAAAUAGGCCCUCAGAGCAGCACUGGAACACAAAGAAGAGUCGAGUAAAAUCUUUAGACUUGCACAUAGCUGUUUGAUAAUAUGCUCCCAUCUUAUCUGAAAUGAAAGAACA